GACGAACGCUGGCGGCGUGCUUAACACAUGCAAGUCGAACGGUAAGGCCCUUCGGGGUACACGAGUGGCGAACGGGUGAGUAACACGUGGGUGAUCUGCCCUGCACUUCGGGAUAAGCCUGGGAAACUGGGUCUAAUACCGGAUAGGACCACUGCCUGCAUGGGUGGGGGUGGAAAGCUUUUGCGGUGUGGGAUGGGCCCGCGGCCUAUCAGCUUGUUGGUGGGGUGAUGGCCUACCAAGGCGACGACGGGUAGCCGGCCUGAGAGGGUGACCGGCCACACUGGGACUGAGAUACGGCCCAGACUCCUACGGGAGGCAGCAGUGGGGAAUAUUGCACAAUGGGCGCAAGCCUGAUGCAGCGACGCCGCGUGAGGGAUGACGGCCUUCGGGUUGUAAACCUCUUUCAGCACCGACGAAGCGCAAGUGACGGUAGGUGCGGAAGAAGGACCGGCCAACUACGUGCCAGCCGCCGCGGUAA
rnacentral:rRNA from 1 species